UUUGUUGGCACAACCGGACACUUAUAAUAGUCUACUCUUCCAUUGUGUAGACUAUCCUUGUCUUUGUCAUUUAAAAGACCAAGUAGUUGCAAGCUUUUCUGGGUCGUGUAACUUUGGAUUUUAGGAAAUACAUCAUGAACGAAUGCUACAAUCUGACCACCCUAUCACCAGAAACUCCGGAAAAUGCGGACUACACUCCUUUGAACAAGGACGAAGUUCAGGACGAACUUUAUGAGAUCACGGAACAGCCGACAAAGCGCCCCUUCACUCUACCAUGGAAAUUACGCGUCACCAUUUUCGUACUGAUAAGCGUGGGAGUGGCGGGGUUUCUGGUUUAUCACGCUAGUAAGUACCAUUAAGUGUAA